rnacentral:rRNA from 1 species
GUCGAACGGACCCUUUCGGGGGUUAGUGGCGGACGGGUGAGUAACACGUGAGAAUCUGCCCAUAGGACGGGGACAACAGUGGGAAACUGCUGCUAAUACCGGAUGAGCCGAGAGGUAAAACAUUUAUGGCCUAUGGAGGAGCUCGCGACUGAUUAGCUAGUUGGUGGGGUAAGAGCCUACCAAGGCGACGAUCAGUAGCUGGUCUGAGAGGAUGAUCAGCCACACUGGGACUGAGACACGGCCCAGACUCCUACGGGAGGCAGCAGUGGGGAAUUUUCCGCAAUGGGGGCAACCCUGACGGAGCAACGCCGCGUGAGGGAAGAAUGGUUGUGGCCAGUAAACCUCUUUUAAUAGGGAAGAAUUCUGACGGUACCUAUUGAAUAAGCAUCGGCUAACUCCGUGCCAGCAGCCGCGGUAAUACGGAGGAUGCAAGCGUUAUCCGGAAUUAUUGGGCGUAAAGCGUCCGCAGGUGGUUAGUCAAGUCAGCUGUUAAAUACUCAGGCUCAACUUGGGAUGUGCAGUUGAAACUGAUUGACUAGAGUACGGUAGGGGUAGAGGGAAUUCCUAGUGUAGCGGUGAAAUGCGUAGAUAUUAGGAAGAACACCAGUGGCGAAGGCGCUCUACUGGGCCUGUACUGACACUGAGGGACGAAAGCUAGGGGAGCGAAAGGGAUUAGAUACCCCUGUAGUCCUAGCUGUAAACGAUGGAUACUAGGUGUUGGACGUAUCGACCCGUUCA